rnacentral:rRNA from 1 species
UACGAAGGGGGCUAGCGUUGCUCGGAAUCACUGGGCGUAAAGGGCGCGUAGGCGGCCUGGUCAGUCGGAUGUGAAAGCCCGGGGCUCAACCCCGGAACGGCAUCCGAGACGGCCAGGCUGGAGACCGGGAGAGGAGAGUGGAAUAGCCAGUGUAGAGGUGAAAUUCGUAGAUAUUGGCUGGAACACCGGUGGCGAAAGCGGCUCUCUGGCCCGGUUCUGACGCUGAGGCGCGAAAGCGUGGGGAGCAAACAGG